UAUCACGGUUAUUGCCUUAGUACGGCGAGUGAAGCGGCAAAAGCUCAAAUUUGAAAUCUGGCACCUUCGGUGUCCGAGUUGUAAUUUGAAGAAGGUAACUUUGGAGUUGGCUCUUGUCUAUGUUCCUUGGAACAGGACGUCACAGAGGGUGAGAAUCCCGUGCGAUGAGAUGCCCAAUUCUAUGUAAAGUGCUUUCGAAGAGUCGAGUUGUUUGGGAAUGCAGCUCUAAGUGGGUGGUAAAUUCCAUCUAAAGCUAAAUAUUGGCGAGAGACCGAUAGCGAACAAGUACAGUGAUGGAAAGAUGAAAAGAACUUUGAAAAGAGAGUGAAAAAGUACGUGAAAUUGUUGAAAGGGAAGGGCUUGAGAUCAGACUUGGUAUUUUGCGAUCCUUUCCUUCUUGGUUGGGUUCCUCGCAGCUUACUGGGCCAUCAUCGGUUUGGAUGGUAGGAUAAUGACUAAGGAAUGUGGCUCUACUUCGGUGGAGUGUUAUAGCCUUGGUUGAUACUGCCUGACUAGACCGAGGACUGCGACUUUUGACUACGAUGUUGGCAUCCUGUUCGUCUGCCGCACCAAUUGAUACACGGACCAACCCCUAAUUUUUUUGCAAUCCGUCUUCGCGGUUUUUUUCUUCAGAGCUAUCAUUCAAACAUUUGUCUUUAUGCAUUU
rnacentral:rRNA from 1 species